rnacentral:rRNA from 1 species
UAAUACGGAGGGUGCAAGCGUUAUCCGGAUUUACUGGGUUUAAAGGGUGUGUAGGCGGACUUUUAAGUCAGCGGUGAAAUCUCCGGGCUCAACCCGGAAACUGCCAUUGAUACUAUUUGUCUUGAAUGUUGUUGAGGUGGGCGGAACGGGUCAUGUAGCGGUGAAAUGCAUAGAUAUGACCCGGAACACCGAUUGCGAAGGCAGCCCACUAAGCAACGAUUGACGCUGAGGCACGAAAGCGUGGG